rnacentral:rRNA from 1 species
CCUGAUGACCAUAGCAAGGUGGUCCCACUCCUUCCCAUCCCGAACAGGACAACGCCUUUGCGCCGAUGAUAGUGCGGGUUCCCGUGUGAAAGUAGGUCAUCGUCAGGC